ACAAUGAUAAGCUAUUCAAUAUGUUUGGGACAUGGUGAAGUGGAAAAACUGACCUUAGAAAAACAACUUUCGCCGAUAUCUUCGGACUGGAGAAGCGCAUGUAUUUUAAAUUUCCCACAAUCAAAGAGGAUGCUACAACGCAUGUCUGAAGCAAAAAACACAGCUCAAGCUUGUUGCGCACACAAGUUGUGUUUCAACUGUAGGCCUACCCCUGUGCCAACUGUACUUGGUCUAACAUUAUACUCAAGCAAAAGUGCUGUUACUAAGGGUUAGAUAAUUUGGUGACGUUUGCCAUACUAGGAGAUACUAUUACUUUGCCAUGUGGCAAACCCUUUAUUAAAUCCUGCACUUCUGUUAACUGGAACAUAGCUGACGAGGUUGGAUUAGAGGUGGUGAAGGCUGGAACUGUGACAGCUCCGAACCCCCUCAGGUUUGGCCUGCUUAAGGACUGCUCUCUGGAGAUUAAUCACCUGGUACUCGAUGAUGCACAUCUUUACUCUUGUCACAGUCAAGUGUUCAAUUCAAGUGUUUCCCUUCAGAUUCUUGAAGUUACUGAGAGCUCAACUCCUGCAAAUGGUAUAAUAGAGCUUCACUGUUACCUCAAUACAUAUAGAGGACUGGUCUCCAAUUGUAACAACAAAGGGAUACAUAUCAAGUGGAGCACUGAAGAUAAUACACCAUUAAAUGGGAACAGAUUUCACUAUAAAAAUGCCUCUGAUUGCUUCUCUAAACUGUUCAUCACUAAAAGACUGACAGACCAUCACAGAAAAUGGAAAUGUCAGCUGACUCAGAAUGACACGGUUAAAGCAACCAUCACUUAUACAACAACAAUAAAAGAUGGUAUAGAGGAAGUGUUUGCUGCAGUCGGUGAGUCAGUGGCACUCUCUUGUAGCAACACUUCCUCUCUCGGUGUCGGUGACAGUGUGAAGUGGACUGUGGGUGAAAGGCCACUGACAGAUGAUAUGUCAUCUUAUAAUGGCCAAACAGAGGAAUUACAUGUGAAUAAGGACUCAUCACUGGUCAUUAGCAAAGUGAGUUCUCUGCAUGCCAGAGACUACCAGUGUUCAGAUUCCACUGAUCAGCAAAAAGUGUUUAACAAAAUCAGGCUGCAUAUCCUCGAUGGUGAGUUUUAAAACUUGUUAAGUCCCAGGACGAAGCAUAAGCUGGUCUAUGGUUACAUUGCGUAACUGCUAUUAAAACAUUUCCUAUUAUGUUUGUCUUUACAGUUACAUCAGAGCAUGGGCCAGGAGGUGAUAAUCUCACUUUGACUUGUGUACUUAUCUGCACUAAAGAAUGUGGAAAAGACUUCAACUUAACAUGGUCUGGAGGCAGCCACAAUACCAGGCAGAGCUAUGAUAAGAACACUCUCAUAAACAGGCUCUCUUUCCCACUUUUAUCAAUGGCAUCUGCUGAAUUAACUUGCUCUGUGCAUAGAGAGGGUGAUGUGAUGGCAUCAAAGAAGUGGCGCACUAUUAACCCUCUGCAAACACCUGCGUGGGCAGCACUUCCUCUAGCCCUCCUGAUAUGCGUAACUGCUGGAGGACUCUACGUGUACAUGAAGAGGAAGCACAACAAAGAUGCAGGAAAUGAACAGCCAAGUGUUGGAAUGACUCAUGUUUACGAUGUCAUUCAAAAUGUAAAUAAUGAGGAACUACACCAACCUGCUACCACCACCAGUUUCUAUGAUUUAUUACAGGCUGUAAACUAUAAAUAAAUAAAAGUGUCUAGUAUUUAAAGUGUCCUUGAUUUCAACCAUUAAUAAACUAUAAACGUUUU